AGUGAACGCUGGCGGUAGGCCUAACACAUGCGAGUCGAACGGCAGCACAGUAAGAGCUUGCUCUUACGGGUGGCGAGUGGCGGACGGGUGAGGAAUACAUCGGAAUCUACUUUUUCGUGGGGGAUAACGUAUGGAAACUUACGCUAAUACCGCAUACGACCUACGGGUGAAAGCAGGGGAUCUUCGGACCUUGCGCGAUUGAAUGAGCCGAUGUCGGAUUAGCUAGUUGGCGGGGUAAAGGCCCACCAAGGCGACGAUCCGUAGCUGGUCUGAGAGGAUGAUCAGCCACACUGGAACUGAGACACGGUCCAGACUCCUACGGGAGGCAGCAGUGGGGAAUAUUGGACAAUGGGCGCAAGCCUGAUCCAGCCAUACCGCGUGGGUGAAGAAGGCCUUCGGGUUGUAAAGCCCUUUUGUUGGGAAAGAAAAGCAGCAGGUUAAUACCCCGCUGUUCUGACGGUACCCAAAGAAUAAGCACCGGCUAACUUCGUG
rnacentral:rRNA from 1 species